rnacentral:lncRNA from 1 species
GAACAAUCUUCUGCUGUCUGCACAAACAGAAAAAAAUCUACGUGUUUAUCUCUGCCUGAGAAGCAGUCUGCAGCAAAAUGGCUUUCACUCAUUAGGACUUACUAGUUUGGGUUUCAUGCUAUAUUGACCCACAGACACGUAGCUCCUAGCUGUCUUGGAGAGCAGACAAAUCUAUUCAUGACUUCGAGAUUUCUGGCAGGCGCAGUCCGUGAAGAUGCAUUGAGUGACAUCGUACCCCAAAAGCAGCGGCAAGGAUCAAGCGAGAGGGGCACCGAAUGGGGCCAAGUAUGCCAAAAUCCUGCUGACUGCUGCCACUGCCAUUCUUGAAGGGUAGUUUGGGGUCUGUGAUGGUAGCCCGGAAGAGAAUGGGGCUGGGCUGGGAUGUUCUGUG